rnacentral:rRNA from 1 species
GAUGAACGCUGGCGGCGUGCUUAACACAUGCCAGUCGAACGAGAAAUGUAGACGGACACCUUCGGGCGGAAGCCUUCAUUUCGAGUGGCGGACGGGUGAGUAACGCGUGGGUAACCUGCCUCAUACAGGGGGAUAACAGUUGGAAACGACUGUUAAUACCGCAUAAGACCACAGCAUCGCAUGAUGCGGGGGUAAAAACUCCGGUGGUAUGAGAUGGAUCCGCGUUCGAUUAGCCAGUUGGCGGGGUAACGGCCCACCAAAGCGACGAUCGAUAGCCGAUCUGAGAGGAUGACCGGCCACAUUGGGACUGAGACACGGCCCAAACUCCUACGGGAGGCAGCAGUGGGGAAUAUUGCACAAUGGGGGAAACCCUGAUGCAGCGACGCCGCGUGAGUGAAGAAGUACUUCGGUAUGCAAAGCUCUAUCAGCAGGGAAGAAAAUGACGGUACCUGAGUAAGAAGCCCCGGCUAACUACGUG